UCACUGCAUGAUACACACACGGAGACACGUUGUUUGAAAUUAACCCCGAGCCUUUCUAGCCAUCCCGAAUAAUUAUAUCCCUCGUUAACCCCAUUUGAGCCUGUAUCCAUUUGUUUGUUUAACCCUCAUAAAUGUACCCCUUGGCCAAAAACACUUCCUCACCCUGUUCAGAGUCAUGAUAAUACAUUCAAACUGUGUUGAAAAGCUAAGUUUGGGGUAAAAACCCCAAAA
rnacentral:lncRNA from 1 species